CCUACGGGUGGCAGCAGUAGGGAAUAUUGCUCAAUGGGGGAAAGCCUGACGCAGCAACGCCGCGUGGAGGAUGAAGGUCUUCGGAUCGUAAACUCCUGUUGUUAGAGAAGAUAAUGACGUUAUCUAAUGAAUAAGCACCGGCUAAAUCCGAGCCAGCAGCCGCGGUAAUACGGAGGGUGCAAGCGUUACUCGGAAUCACUGGGCGUAAAGAGCGCGUAGGCGGUAUAGCAAGUCAGGUGUGAAAUCCUAUGGCUUAACCAUAGAACUGCAUUUGAAACUGUUAUUCUGGAGUAUGUGAGAGGUUGGUGGAAUUCUAGGUGUAGGAGUAAAAUCCGUAGAGAUCAAGAGGAAUA
rnacentral:rRNA from 1 species